UGGACUUUGUUUCAUUUUCCCUCAAUCCAUCUCUGUCAUGAUGUAGAAUAGAACAAAGGUGGUCAUGGGUGAAUGAAACCAGACAU
rnacentral:miRNA from 12 species